UACUGUGACACUGUGUACGCCGUGCGGAGACAACAUAGUAAGCGGGUGCGACCUAUUCUCAAUUAAAAGCUAUAAAUAUAAUAUAAAACAUAAACAUUGACAUUGACUGAUAACUGAUUCUGCUAUAAAUAAAUGAAUAUGGCUAUAAAGUCCAAAGUAAUAAUCUAUUCUGUGGUAAUAUGUGGAACAUGGUAUUAUCUUAUUUUCAUAAUUAUAUUAGAAAAUAAUAUUUUUGUGCGUACGGACUACGAAUAACCCCAAUUGUAAAUUGGUGAUUAGCGCACAAUCAGUUAUAAACUAUUACAAUAUUGCAUGUAUGCCCCCUACGCUGUUUUACACUAUUGUAAUAUUCAUUACUUGGAUUUAGAAGAACCAAUUUUAAACUGGCCAAAUUAUCAAAAAUAUUUUAAAGUAUUAAGAGUCAUUGAGGAUAAUUUUUUUUACAAGAAGCUAAAAGUGAAGUUGUGUCGAUACAAAGUGUGACAAGGUGGAUCCACGUUCAAACUCUAAUAUAAGAAAACAUUUAAGUACACAACAUUCAACUAUAUUAAAGAAAAUUGAUCACAUUAAUAAUGCAGCAAACAAAAACACUUUAAAGAGACCCAAUGAUGGAUCAUUGAAGCAUAAUGCUGGUAGUUCUUUAAAACAAUUAGAUAAAAACAACCAGUUUUAGAAGAUUUUUUGAACAACAAUAAAUUAACUAUUCAAAUUGCAGCAUUAACAAGAGUAGUUGAUAUUUACAUGACUGCAUGACUAUAUACUGAUACAUUGCUAUAUAGUAAACGAUACGGUUGUUAAUGAUUUAGAAGAAAUCAACGCAUUCAACUUGAACAUUCUAAAUGAUGAAGACCAUGAUUUGCCAUAUGCAUUACCAAAACACCAUCGAUGUUGUGCACACACAAUAAAUUUAAUAACAACAAUGGACUCUAAAAAAGCUUUGUCUAAUCUUGCAUACAAAAAACAGUCAAGAAGCACUUUUGCCAAGUCUACCGCUUUGUGGAAUAAACAAGGACGCUCAACUAAGUCAGCUGAUUUAUUUAAACAAAAUCUUGGUGUUUAUUUAAUUACACCCAACAAGUCACAUUGGAAUUCACUGUAUGAUGCAGUGGUGUUGCUUAAUAAAUAAAUUAAAAAUAAUGAACUUAAGUUUAGAAUAAUAAUGACAAAUUGGCUAUUGGCAGAUUUAAUAGAAGUGAUAUUUAUUUCAUGUGUCAACAUCAAACAAUUAUGGGGCCAAUUUCAUUACGCUUGGAUUUACUCCAGGGUGAUACUAAUAUGUACUUUGGUCAUCUCCUACCUACAUUUGAAGAAUUAAUUUAUAAAUGUGAAUUAAUGAUAAGUGAUCAAACAGUUUCUAAUUAUUUGAAACCUCUGGUUACCGCCAUACUUAAUGAUAUGAAAACAAGGUUUGCUGAUUAUUUGAUAGACAAAUUUUUAACAGUGUGCCAUCCACUAUUUAAAAAAGCAUGGAUUAAAAAUGAUGUAAAAAAAUAAUUGGCAACAGAAUAUUUAAAAAGUGCCUGUUAUGACUUACAUACCAAUGAUAAUGGCAGUAAUGAUGUAGGAGAUAACCAAAUGAAAGAUAAUUUAUUUACCUUUUUUACCUGGUCACAAAAUUCCCGAGAUGAAAAAUCAACAGUUAGUGAUGAAAUAGAUAGAUAUUUGGGCACAUCUCCAACAAAGACUUUAAAAUGUUUGCAUAAUUUACCCAAUAUCAAAAAAGUAUUUUUGAAGUACAACACUCCACUACCUAGCUGUGCAUCAGUAAAGAGAGUGUUUAGUGUUGGUGAUGCCACAAUACAUAAAAAAGAACAAAUAUGACGGAUCAAUAUUUUGAACAAAUAAUGUUCUUAAAAUGCAACACUCAAAUGUUUGAUUAAUAUAAUAUAUUAUG